rnacentral:rRNA from 1 species
CAGUAGCCACGGUAAUACGUAGGGUGCAAGCGUUAAUCGGAAUUACUGGGCGUAAAGCGUGCGCAGGCGGUUAUAUAAGUCAGAUGUGAAAUCCCCGGGCUCAACCUGGGAACUGCAUUUGAGACUGUAUGGCUAGAGUGUGUCAGAGGGGGGUAGAAUUCCACGCGUAGCGGUGAAAUGCGUAGAUAUGUGGAGGAAUACCGAUGGCGAAGGCAGCCCCCUGGGAUAACACUGACGCUCAUGCACGAAAGCGUGGGGAGCAAACAGGAUUAGAUACCCCUGUAGUCCCUGUCUCUUAUAA